AAUUAGCCCUGAUAGAAAUGGAAAGCUUUUGAAGGCACAGUUACUAGUUUUUCUAUUUUUUCAAAGCGACCAAAGGAAGCUGUUGAAAAAAUAAAUAAAAACUAUAAUGAGACUAAAAACUUGAAAUGAAUAGCAGGAUUUAGC
rnacentral:sRNA from 1 species